AAGAUGCCAAGGAUGGCGGAUGCUAUGGUUUAGUAGCGGAAUCCGGUAAGCUAGAAAAGAAAAAGGUUCGGCGCAACCUCGUUGGAGCAAGAAGCUUGGAGGGCUUAGGUACAUCGGGUAGAUUAGGCUUGGAGGGUCUAUUGCUGUUCAUGUAUCCCAACUACAUUUUCUAGUGGAUUAUUGACCGCUUGGAGGGUGGCGGAGAGGUUUUACGCCGAGGGCUUCGGUUUCCUCUUCGAUAACA